GGGGGCUCCCUCACUACCAGAGGACGGGGCUCAGUGGCCCCGCAGACCCCUGGGGCCCCCAGGGAGGCUGCACUGUGGGGUCCCUCCUCCUGUCUCUCCUCCAGCACCUCUCUCGUGCCCCCCACCCCAGUCCUCAGCCUUUCUCUUCCACUGUCCUGUCAAUUGUUGCCCCUAGAACAUUCCCUGCUGCUGGGCCUCUGCCACCCUCUGCCCCUGCCGCCUCGACCCACUCUCUCGCCUUUGCCGUGUUCAUUUUCUCUCUGCUUUUCCCCUUCGCCCCUGAAUUCCUCCCAGACAUUCCAGCCCCCUCACCCCCCAGACUCCGGCCAGCCGGUACGGCCCUCCAGCCCCCUCCAGCAGCCGGCCCACCGGCCAGACCAUUACCUGCGUCUGUCACGGGCUCACAUACGUUACAAACUGAAUUUCCUUGGGACCCCAGGACUGACCCCACCUUGUGAAACCAGCGCAGCUGCGUGUGGUCUUUGGUGUCCAGGGCCUUCGGGGGAGAGAGUCCAGUUCUGAAAGGAGACGGGCUGGGGCCCUGGGUGGUUCCGGUGCCAGCCCAGCUGCCACAGCGGGGUCCCCACCAGCUGCCGCACAGACAGGCCGGAAGCUUCUGAGAGGGAGUGGGGGCAAGUCCUGUCCCCACCAUGCCAGGAACUCCGGGGACAGGCACAGUCUUCAUGCCUCUGGGGUCCCUGAGCAGCUCGGGGAGUGGACAUAGAAGGAGGUGGAGGAGGUCAGCAGCCAGGAAGUAUUUACGGAGUGGCCGUUGCGCCAGGCUCUGCAGUAGGCCUUGGGGGGAGAGUUGGGAAUGAGAGCCCCAGUCCUCUGCUUCCUGGGGCUCAGGGGCCCAACUCCACCAAAGUAAACAGGUUCUAAGAACGGCGAACAUCUCCCCGACGGCUGCGAGGGUGGGUUCAGAGCCCAGCAGGGGUUCGGAGGGAUGCCCGCCAACGUCUUCCCUGCUCAGCUGGGGCUUCUGUGUCCAGCCUCUAAGUUGGGAUUUUAUGUCAUCUUUGCUUCCCUUCCAGGAGGCUUUCGGGCUUUCGGGGCCCCUGCCUGCUCCCCUCGGCCUGGCCCCAUCAUCACCCACCCGGGCAUCUCGCCUCUUAAUCACCCCGGGGCGGGGGGCUCGGCUCCAGGUCUGACCAUGGGGAGCUUGUCCAGGGGAGCAGUGGGGAGCCUGGGCAGACGUGCAGGAGAGGGCUGGUCCCGGGAGCUCUCCCCACCCCCGGCAGGAAGGAGGCUGCUUGAUCCCCACGCCCCAGCCAGUGCAUGGCUGACCCCACGCAGGCCCCCAGAGUCACCCACACCAGGGGCCUGAGAGGAGCUGUUUCAUACCAGCUCGGAGCAGCUGUGGGUCCCGCAGUGUCACUCCAGGAGAGGGUAGGUGGGGGCAGACGCAGGCUGUCCUGGCCCCUCAGUGACUGUCCCUUGGCCUGGAGCACGCUCUGGUCUCUCGGGGCCUUUGUGGGCUCACCUGCAGAGCGAGGCACAGUCAACAGAUGCUAGGGCCCUGGGGUAGGACCAAAGCACCGCCUUCACUUUGUCGGCGGCUCCAGGGCCCCUGCUCUGUCGCCCAGCUGGGCGUCCUCCCUACCCUAUCCUCACAGAGCUCUCAUUCCAGCGUGGAAGGGAGGGGACAGAUCCGCGGAGGCAGAUAAAAAUGAUGGCAGAUAGCGCUGGACGUGGAGGACAGGGAGCGAGGCUGCAUGGCAGGGCAGCAGGCCCCCCGAGAGCGCGGACAGCUGAGACCGUAGGACGGGCCACAGCGCCCGGCCACGAGCCGCCACCCCUCCUGGGAGGACGCUCCCUCUGCUCCGCCCAGAUCCUAGUCUCACUCAGGCGGAUGUUACCUGUGCUGUGCCAAGGGGGCUGGGAGUGUGCGUGUGCAAGUGCACGUAUGUGAGCGAGGUUGUAUGCUGUGUGCGUGUGGGUUGUGGGCUGUGUGUGCGUGUACGGGGUGUGCUGAGAAGGUGGAAGAGCGCUCAGAGUGGAGCUUUGCGUGCGGUGUGUGUAGAGCCUGGUACGGGCAUUGGGAGGGGCCUGGGUGACACCCGCGGAAACCGUCCCCGUAGAAGGCAGGUCGUGUAACGCAUGACGUGUCUCCAGUGGCUGCGAAGGGCGGUGGGAAGAGGCUUGGAUGAGGAGUCAGAAGCACUCAGGGAGUUCCCAUUGUGGCGCAGUGGUUAAUGAAUCCGACUAGGAACCAUGAGGUUGCGGGUUCGAUCCCUGCCCUUGCUCAGUGGGUUGACGAUCCGGCGUUGCCGUGAGCUGUGGUGUAGGUUGCAGACGCGGCUCGGAUCCCACGUUGCUGUGGCUCUGGUGUAGGCCGGUGGCUACAGCUCCGAUUCGACCCCUGGCCUGGGAACCUCCAUAUGCCGCGGGUGCGGCCCAAGAAAUAGCAACAACAACAAAAACAAACAAACAAAAAAAAGACAAAAAAAAAAAA
ensembl:lncRNA